GGGAUACAACUCUGGAGUCCUCUGAGAGGUUGGAUGGGAGAGCAUGUCUGUGUGUCUCAGAGCCACCAAGGAGGAGCAGGGGAGCGACGGCCGGGGCAGAAGUUGAGACCACCCAGCAGAGGAGCUAGGCCAGUCCAUCUGCAUUUGUCACCCAAGAACUCUUACCAUGAAGACCCUCCUACUGUUGGCAGUGAUCAUGAUCUUUGGCCUGCUGCAGGCCCAUGGGGAUUUGGUGAAUUUCCACAGAAUGAUCAAGUUGACGACAGGAAAGGAAGCUGCACUCAGUUAUGGCUUCUACGGCUGCCACUGUGGCGUGGGUGGCAAAGGAUCCCCCAAGGAUGCAACAGAUCGCUGCUGUGUCACUCAUGACUGUUGCUACAAACGUCUGGAGAAACGUGGAUGUGGCACCAAAUUUCUGAGCUACAAGUUUAGCAACGCGGGGAGCAGAAUCACCUGUGCAAAACAGGACUCCUGCAGAAGUCAACUGUGUGAGUGUGAUAAGGCUGCUGCCAACUGUUUUGCUAGAAACAAGACGACCUACAAUAAAAAGUACCAGUACUAUUCCAAUAAACACUGCAGAGGAAGCACCCCUCGUUGCUGAGUCCCCUCUUCCCUGGAAACCUUCCACCCAAUGCUGAAUUUCCCUCUCUCAUACCCUCCCUCCCUACCCUAACCAAGUUCCUUGGCCAUGCAGAAAGCAUCCCUCACCCAUCCUAGAGGCCAGGCAGGAGCCCUUCUAUACCCACCCAGAAUGAGACACCCACCAGAUUUCCAGCCUUCCACUGCUCUCCUCCACCUCAACUCCAUGCUUAACCAAAGAAGCUGUACUCCGAGGGGUCUCUUCUGAAUAAAGCAAUUAGCAAAUCAUGUA
rnacentral:sRNA from 1 species